GGUGAUUUUAAUGAGGUACUUCACGGUUGGGAGAAGGAAGGAGGGGUCCCUCGUAGCCAAGGAUGUAUGGAUCGUUUCAAAUCAGCGCUUGAAGAGUGCGAACUGGAUGAUCUCGGUUUUAUAGGAGAUGCAUUUACGUGGAGAACUGACUAUGUGAAAGAGCGCCUUGACAGGGCCGUGGCUACCCAAGCAUGGCGUGACCGGUUCACUGCUUACAAGGUGACCAACGGUGAUCCACACCAUUCAGAUCACAGACCGGUCAUAAUUGACACGGCCGGAGCAACAGCAGUCUGGAGAGAGGCCACACAAAAUCGUAUGCCCAGGUUCGAAGCAAGAUGGCUCGAGGAAGAAGGGUGUAAGGAGAUAGUGAAGAAUGCUUGGGAGCGGGAGAAGAUUGUUGAAGAGCAGGAAGUGGCGGGGGCUGCGAAGGGGGUCCUGAAGGAAGUUUUUGACUGGAGUAAGAAUGUACUGGGUGACUUGGAGAAAAGGAUUCACAGACUGAAGAAAGAACUAGAGGCUGAGAGAAGGAAAAGCAUCGGUGAUGAGCAGGUCCGGAGGGAGCACAUGCUGAGAUUCAAGCUAAGCCGGUUGGAGGAUCAAUUAGAAACCUAUUGGAAACAACGGGCACAUGUGAACUAG
rnacentral:rRNA from 1 species